rnacentral:rRNA from 1 species
GACGAACGCUGGCGGCGUGCUUAACACAUGCAAGUCGAACGGGAUCUGACUGGCAGCUUGCUGUCGGAUAGAUCUAGUGGCGAACGGGUGAGUAACACGUGGGCAACCUGCCCCGGAGAUCGGGAUAACACGGGGAAACCCGUGCUAAUACUGGAUAUUCUGCCUUUCCCGCAUGGCAUCGGUAGAAAAAGGUAAGCUUGCUUUCCGCUCCGGGAUGGGCCCGCGUCCCAUUAGCUUGUCGGUGAGGUAACGGCUCACCGAGGCAACGAUGGGUAGCCGGCCUGAGAGGGUGAACGGCCACACUGGGACUGAGAUACGGCCCAGACUCCUACGGGAGGCAG